GCGUUCAUAGCUCAGUUGGUUAGAGCACCACCUUGACAUGGUGGGGGUCGUUGGUUCGAGUCCAAUUGAACNNN
rnacentral:tRNA from 1 species